GACGAACGCUGGCGGCGUGCUUAACACAUGCAAGUCGAACGGUGAAGCGCCUUCCUUUUUGGUGGGUGUGGAUGAGUGGCGAACGGGUGAGUAACACGUGAGUAACCUGCCCCCUUCUUCUGGAUAACCGCAUGAAAGUGUUGCUAAUACGGGAUAUUCUGGGUCUGUCGCAUGAUGGGUCUGGGAAAGAUAUUGUUUCGGUGGGGGAUGGGCUCGCGGCCUAUCAGCUUGUUGGUGGGGUGAUGGCCUACCAAGGCGGUGACGGGUAGCCGGCCUGAGAGGGUGGACGGUCACACUGGGAGUGAGACACGGACCAGACUCCUACGGGAGGCAGCAGGGGGGAAUAUUGCACAAUGGGCGCAAGCCUGAUGCAGCGACGCCGCGUGAGGGAUGGAGGCCUUCGGGUUGUGAACCUCUUUCGCCAGUGAAGCAGGCCUGCCUCGUUUGUGGGUGGGUUGACGGUAGCUGGAGAAGAAGCGCCGGCUAACUACGUG
rnacentral:rRNA from 1 species